CUUUACUUAGAGUGAUGCUAACAAAAACCAUUCUGUUUCUCUAUCAUCUGUCCUAACAGUAGAUUCUUCUCCACAAUACAGG